UAGGGAAUCUUCCACAAUGGAUGCAAGUCUGAUGGAGCAACGCAGCGUGAGUGAAGAAGGUUUUCGGAUCGUAAAGCUCUGUUGUUGGUGAAGAAGGAUAGAGGUAGUAACUGGCCUUUAUUUGACGGUAAUCAACCAGAAAGUCACGGCUAACUACGUGCCAGCAGCCGCGGUAAUACGUAGGUGGCAAGCGUUGUCCGGAUUUAUUGGGCGUAAAGCGAGCGCAGGCGGAAGAAUAAGUCUGAUGUGAAAGCCCUCGGCUUAACCGAGGAACUGCAUCGGAAACUGUUUUUCUUGAGUGCAGAAGAGGAGAGUGAAAUUCCAUGUGUAGCGGUGGAAUGCGUAGAUAUAUGGAAGAACACCAGUGGCGAAGGCGACUCUCUGGUCUGCAACUGACGCUGAGGCUCGAAGGCAUAGGUAGCGAACAGG
rnacentral:rRNA from 1 species